UGGGGAAUAUUGCACAAUGGGCGCAAGCCUGAUGCAGCGACGCCGCGUGAGGGAUGAGAGGCCUUCGGGUUGUAAACCUCUUUCGCCAGUGAAGCAGGCCUGCUCCUUGUGGGUGGGUUGACGGUAGCUGGAUAAGAAGCGCCGGCUAACUACGUGCCAGCAGCCGCGGUAAUACGUAGGGCGCGAGCGUUGUCCGGAAUUAUUGGGCGUAAAGAGCUCGUAGGCGGCUGGUCGCGUCUGUCGUGAAAUCCUCUGGCUUAACUGGGGGCUUGCGGUGGGUACGGGCCGGCUUGAGUGCGGUAGGGGAGACUGGAACUCCUGGUGUAGCGGUGGAAUGCGCAGAUAUCAGGAAGAACACCGGUGGCGAAGGCGGGUCUCUGGGCCGUUACUGACGCUGAGGAGCGAAAGCGUGGGGAGCGAACAGG
rnacentral:rRNA from 1 species